rnacentral:pre_miRNA from 1 species
AUCACCUGGAGAUCUUGAGAAAAUGCAGACUCUCGUUCAGCAGAUCUGGAGUGGGGCUGAGAUUCUGCAUUUCUAACAAGUUUCCUGGUGAUAUUAA